GUAACGGUAACAGAUUCUUCGGAAUGCUGACGAGUGGCGAACSGGUGAGUAAAGUAUAGUUAAUUUGCCUCUUAGAUAGGGAUAGCCAUUGGAAACGAUGAUUAAUACCCAAUACUCCUUUUACUGUAAGAGUAAAAGGGAAAUGCUUUUGUGCUAAGAGAUAAGACUAUAUGGUAUCAGGUASUUGGUGGGGUAAGAGCCUACCAAGCCAAUGACGCCUAGCUGGUCUGAGAGGAUGAUCAGCCACACUGGAACUGAGACACGGUCCAGACUCCUACGGGAGGCAGCAGUGGGGAAUAUUGCACAAUGGAGGAAACUCUGAUGCAGCAACGCCGCGUGGAGGAUGACCCAUUCCCGUGUGUAACUCCUUUUAUAUGGGAAGAUAAUGACGGUACCAUAUGAAUAAGCACCGGCUAACUCCGUGCCAGCACCCGCGUAUACGG
rnacentral:rRNA from 1 species